rnacentral:rRNA from 1 species
UACGAAGGGGGCUAGCGUUGCUCGGAAUCACUGGGCGUAAAGGGUGCGUAGGCGGGUCUUUAAGUCAGGGGUGAAAUCCUGGAGCUCAACUCCAGAACUGCCUUUGAUACUGAGGAUCUUGAGUUCGGGAGAGGUGAGUGGAACUGCGAGUGUAGAGGUGAAAUGCGUAGAGAUCCGGAGGAACACCAAAGGCGAAGGCAGUGUCCUGGGGAGUACCUGACGCUCAGGUGCGAAAGCCAGGGGAGCGAACGGG